rnacentral:sRNA from 1 species
ACGGUUCAUUUACUAGGCGUUAAGCUUUUUCACCUAUUACUUUGGUCGUCCAUCUUUGGACGCCGAGUGGCUCCUGUCCACUCUGCUUUGACGCCUCCCUGUUAUCAACUUCAAAGCCGCCGGCAACGGCGGCUCUUUUUUU